rnacentral:rRNA from 1 species
GACAGAGGGUGCAAACGUUGCUCGGAAUUACUGGGCGUAAAGCGCGUGUAGGCUGACCGGAAAGUCGGGCGUGAAAUCCCUGGGCUCAACCCAGGAACUGCACUCGAAACUCCCGGUCUUGAGUGGUGGAGAGGGAAGUGGAAUUCCUGGUGUAGAGGUGAAAUUCGUAGAUAUCAGGAGGAACACCAGUGGCGAAGGCGGCUUCCUGGACACCAACUGACGUGGAGACGCGAAAGCGUGGGGGAGCAAACAGG